CAAGAUUUAAUUUAAUAGAAAAUAUAGGCUUUGGAAGUUUACAAUAAGAUAUUCUUAAUCUUGA
rnacentral:tRNA from 1 species